rnacentral:rRNA from 1 species
CCCUAUGGGGUGCAGCAGGUCGUGCCGAUGGACGUGGUGGAUGACAUGACCUCCUUCGUCAUGAGCAGCGCGACGGUCAUCAACGACAUCGUCCUCGUGACAGGGGUGCUCAGGAGGACCUACGGCGAUCCCCUGCACGUGUACAUGGUCGGGCCGGAGGAGUUCACCGCGGGCAAGGAACUGGCCAUCCGCCCGGAGGACACCGAUAAAGUGGGCGGCAAGCUGCACCUCUUCGACGGCAAGACCUGGUACGUGGGCGCGGGUUUGCGCUUUUACGCGGAGCAGACCGCUUACCUGGGCGUGGACAACCCCGCGCUCUCGGUUUCCAAGGAAGACCUGCGGGACUUGGUCCUCAGGGGCUCACCCAACAACCCCUACUCCCUCAACCUGAAGCUCUUCCAUGACUUUACCCACCCCGCUUUCCGCCCGGGGGCCCAGGCCAGGCUGGAAUGGGCGGGAGGGC